rnacentral:tRNA from 1 species
AGGAAUGUGGCUUAGUGGUAGAGUGCUUGCCUAGCAUGCAUGAAGCCCUGGGUUCCAUUCCUU